AUUCCAGCUCCAAUAGCGUAUAUUAAAGUUGUUGCAGUUAAAAAGCUCGUAGUUGGAUUUCUGGUGGGAGCGAUCGGUCUGGCGCUUAGCGCGAGUACUUGCAUCGUCUCCGGCCAUCCUUGGGGAGAGUUUGUCUGGCAUUAAGUUGUCGGGCAGAGGAUCCUCAUCGUUUACUGUGAAAAAAUUAGAGUGUUCAAAGCAGGCUUAUGCCGUUGAAUAUAUUAGCAUGGAAUAAUAAGAUAGGACUUUGGUACUAUUUUGUUGGUUUGCGCACCAAAGUAAUGAUUAAUAGGGACAGUUGGGGGCAUUCGUAUUCCGUUGUCAGAGGUGAAAUUCUUGGAUUUACGGAAGACGAACUACUGCGAAAGCAUUUACCAAGGAUGUUUUCAUCG
rnacentral:rRNA from 1 species